rnacentral:rRNA from 1 species
UGGGGAAUUUUGGACAAUGGGCGAAAGCCUGAUCCAGCCAUGCCGCGUGAGUGAAGAAGGCCUUCGGGUUGUAAAGCUCUUUUAGUCGGAAAGAAAGAGUCGCAAUGAAUAAUUGUGAUUUAUGACGGUACCGACAGAAAAAGCACCGGCUAACUACGUGCCAGCAGCCGCGGUAAUACGUAGGGUGCGAGCGUUAAUCGGAAUUACUGGGCGUAAAGGGUGCGCAGGCGGUUUUGCAAGUCAGAUGUGGAAGCCCCGGGCUUAACCUGGGAAUUGCGUUUGAAACUACAAGGCUAGAGUGCAGCAGAGGGGAGUGGAAUUCCAUGUGUAGCAGUGAAAUGCGUAGAGAUGUGGAAGAACACCGAUGGCGAAGGCAGCUCCCUGGGUUGACACUGACGCUCAUGCACGAAAGCGUGGGGAGCAAACA